UACGGAGGAUCCGAGCGUUAUCCGGAUUUAUUGGGUUUAAAGGGUGCGUAGGCGGUUUGAUAAGUUAGAGGUGAAAUGUCGGGGCUCAACCCCGAAACUGCCUCUAAUACUGUUGGACUAGAGAAUAGUUGCGGUAGGCGGAAUGUAUGGUGUAGCGGUGAAAUGCUUAGAGAUCAUACAGAACACCGAUUGCGAAGGCAGCUUACCAAACUAUAUCUGACGUUGAGGCACGAAAGCGUGGGUAGCAAACAGGA
rnacentral:rRNA from 1 species